GACGAACGCUGGCGGCGUGCCUAAUACGUGCAAGUUGAGCGCUGAAGGUUGGUACUUGUCCCAACUGGAUGAGCAGCGAACGGGCGAGUAACGCGUGGGAAAUCUGCCUUUGAGCGGGGGACAACAUUUGGAAACGAAUGCUAAUACCGCAUAAAAACUUUAAACACAAGUUUUAAGUUUGAAAGAUGCAAUUGCAUCACUCAAAGAUGAUCCCGCGUUGUAUUAGCUAGUUGGUGAGGUAAAGGCUCACCAAGGCGAUGAUACAUAGCCGACCUGAGAGGGUGAUCGGCCACAUUGGGACUGAGACACGGCCCAAACUCCUACGGGAGGCAGCAGUAGGGAAUCUUCGGCAAUGGACGAAAGUCUGACCGAGCAACGCCGCGUGAGGGAAGAAGGUUUUCGGAUCGUAAAACUCUGUUGGUAGAGAAGAACGUUGGUGAGAGUGGAAAGCUCAUCAAGUGACGGUAACUACCCAGAAAGGGACGGCUAACUACGUG
rnacentral:rRNA from 1 species